CUGGCAAUUUCAGGGAUGCUUGGGGAGGCUCAUGCUUUAUUUGCCACCCUUGCCAGGAGCCAGUUUCUUCAGAGCCUUGGUCUCCUGGCCUGGGAGCCUGGGGGUGGCAUGCCUUGCAGGAGGGGGCAGCCAGGGACAGGGAGCAGCAGGAUUGCUAGUGGUGUGUUUCUGCCAGUGUGUCCCUGGACUUCUGCAUUUCUGUGGCAGCAGCCCAGCCUGAGGCAGAGGGUGAGGUAGACAUGCCUGGGCAUGUCUGGUGGGGCAGGCUGGCCAGGAGCCCACUUGCAUGAAGACAGCAAGAUCCUUGGGAGCCGUGACUGGACUCUGAGGCUUCCUGCUAUGACUCCUCUGGGCCAUUCUACUUGGAAUUGGCACAAAAACUAACAGCUUAAACCCUUCUGGGCGAAACUACAGAAGAAAAUAAAUCCUGGAGUGUCGUACUUGGCUACAAGCUGAACAGAAUGGCCUUCCCUGUCGGAUGAAAACCUGUUCUUUCAAGGGCCAGUUCAAAUGGCACCACCCUGAGGAUGAAGCCUUUCCUGACUCUCCAGACGCGGGCCACAAAUGAGCUCACCCAUCUUCAGCAACUGGACAUGUCCCAGGAUUGCCCAAAUGAGGACAGCUGCCUUAUAAGGAGGCUCUUCGAAGGCUCGUGUUCCAAGGAGCCUGUCACCUCUCAAAGCAUUUUUGGAACUCCUGCUUUGAAUUAGUGCCAGAGUCGGGCAGUGAAUCCUCACACCUCCACGAAGGAGUUAUUUUUGGAGACAAUGAAAGUCGUCUUGGCCAAGUUUGUGCUUGGCUCCGAGUCUUCUUCAUCCAUAUGGCUUCUGCAGGCCAAGGCUUUCCAUGGCUGGCGCCUGCUGCGUCUCAGUUCCAGAAUUCCAGGCUGGACUGCUCCCUAAUGGAGAGCGGACUGUGGCAGAUGUACUCUCUCUGCCUGGAAGAUAAGUUUUGCCAAGGGAGGCAGAACCAUCUUAUUGCUGCAAGUUGGGGCAGAGGAGAGACAAGAGAGGCAUCCCGAAAAAAUGCAUAGGCUUUAAAUCAGACAGAGCCAGUGUGAAAUCCUUGCUCCUCCCCUUAAAAAGAGGUGUGAUCUUAAGCAAGUUAUGUAACCCCUUCGAGGCUUGGUUUUCUCAUCUUUGAGAUGUAGAGCAUGAUAUCUCUAUCCUAGAACUCAUGCAAAAAUUAAAUAAGAUGACAUAUAAAGCACUGGAAACAGAUAUUAGAUGGUAUUAUGGUAGCUAUUAUAAUUUUUGUAAAUAAUAUUAUUAUUUAUGACCCUGUGGGUGGGAGAGAGAUGGUGGCUUUCUUUUUUCCCUCUUAGAUUUGAGAUUUAACGGGGAACUCUUGAUGUUAGUUGUUAAGAAACCCAUCUAGGCAAAUAGGUGAAUGUUUCCAUUGAUAUUUAAAUGAGUUUUUCAAGUUCUGAGAGAAUCCUUUCAAAGCAACUUCUGGGCCCUGAGGAGGUCCUGGUUCACCUUUGCAUUGGCUUAAAGAGAAUCAGAAGGACCUUAUCCGAAAAGGCAAGUCGUUGAACUUACCGCCUGGUCAAACUUUAGUAGCGAAACAUUCCUUCUGUGAGCCACAAGGCACUUCCAAGAUGGAAUGAUUAUCUAUAAAAUAACAAUAGGGAAAACAUUACUUAUCAGAACUUAGGAGGUACAGUUAAAGCAGUGUCCAGAGAAGAAUGCACAGUGGGAUUUUGUGCGUCAACUGGAUUGGGCCACAGGGUGCCCAGAUAUUUGGUCAAGUAUUAUUCUGGGUGUAUCUGUGAGGGUGUUUCUGGAUGGGGUUAACAUUGGAACUGGCAGACUGAGUAAAGCAGAUUGCCCUCCCCAAUGUGGGUGGGCCUCAUCCAAUCAGUUGAAGGCCUGAACAGACUAAAAGUCUGAGUAAGAAAGAAUUCUUUCUCUCUGCCUGACUGUCUUUGAGCUGGGACACUGGUCGUCUUCUGCCUUUGGAUUUGGACUCAAACUGGAACUUACACCAUUGGUUCU